GUACUUUUAUUUUUCAAGACGCUGUAUAAACUCGACCACGUACCAAAAAUUUCGAAUCAAUAGGAUUAAUUCCUCGUACUCAGGGUUCUCUUUGUGCUAGAGAACCUUGGGUGAACACUCGUAAUAAUAUAUAAACAACAUAUAAAACUUUCAGUAUUAUAUAGGUAAAUGAAAUUCCUGGAAAUUGGACGAAAACCUGCAUAAGGCCCAUUGCACCACAAUGAAACUAUUUACAUCGGUUCAUAGACCCAACAUGGGUUUAUUAUUAUUGCAUUUAAAUAACAUACAAGUCUCUUUGUGCAACAGAACGUCAACUAAACAAGUUACAAUAAACACCUCUUUCACGUAACGAAGUUGGUGAGUUGCUUUUCCUGUCUUAGAAUUUAGACUUCGUUUCCACGAAUUUACUCUCUCUGGGACCCUGGCAAAGAACUUAGACAUGUUUUGUCGAGUUUUAGUUUUUCAUUUCGGGGCUUUCUUCAGUGACAAUGUUCAGUGAGAGGGCGAUAAUGCCGUUAUGACAUUAUUAUUCUCAAGAACGUGUGAAGGCCACGGCUCGAAAAUGAUUAUGUUGAUUAAUAUUGGCUGAUGUUUCAAACGCUAACGCCCUGGUAGCACAGAGCUUCGUCUGUUAAAACUACAAAGUUUGUAUUCUUCUAUACCACAACACGAAGUCAGCUUGUGGCCGUCUGUGCAUCCAACAAAAUGUAAAUUUAACAGUGCGUGCAAAGUCGUGCUUUUAUUAACAAAUUUGAAACAGUAAAAGUGGAAUCCGCUUAGCAGCGAUCCAAGCGAUCCUUGAACGUAACCGUCUUUUUCUUCUUUCCGCUCUUUUUCGCGACAAAAUGGCCGCGGUGGAAAUGGACGUCGACAAUUUUCGUGUUCUUGAAGUCAUCCAUGUGAAGAAUAUCUGGCGAGUCCGUGCCGAGGGAAUGCCGAUAGAUCUCGAUCUUGGGCAACUGCGCUUGCUUGAACAUAAAUAGACCU